GAUGAACGCUGGCUACAGGCUUAACACAUGCAAGUCGUGGGGAAACGAUUGGAGGCACUUGCGCCUCUGAGGCGUCGACCGGCGCACGGGUGAGUAACGCGUAUCCAACCUGCCCCGCGGCAAGGGAUAAUCCGCAGAAAUGCGGUCUAAUACCUUAUGUGCUCCGAAGAGGACAUCUGAUUCGGAGCAAAGGCUUGCCGCCGCGGGAUGGGGAUACGUCUGAUUAGAUAGUUGGCGGGGCAACGGCCCGCCAAGUCGACGAUCAGUAGGGGUUCCGGGAGGAAAGUCCCCCACAUUGGAACUGAGACACGGUCCAGACUCCUACGGGAGGCAGCAGUGAGGAAUAUUGGUCAAUGGGCGAGAGCCUGAACCAGCCAAGUAGCGUGCAGGAAGACGGCCCUAUGGGUUGUAAACUGCUUUUAUGCGGGGAUAAAGGAGCAUACGUGUAUGUUUUUGCAAGGAC
rnacentral:rRNA from 1 species